CUGGUUUGAGCGUCUUCAGAUGGGUAUGCAAGCUUAUAUUUGUAGUGGGCGCAUGUAAGCUCCCCACGGUGAGCCACAGUUGUUCAGCACCCAGCUCAUCAUAAACUCAAACACACACACACCAAAGGCGAAAAAUACAGCAAUAAAAAAAUCGUGAGAUUAUAAAAAAAAAAUUUUAAAAAUAAUGUGAUGACAAUUUUUUUGUGAAAUGGUCCAAGAAUGGCCGGUCCAAGCAUAGUGGUGAAUGACGACUGGUCAAUCCCCGCUAGUUCGUCAACCCGGUCAUCCUUCUUGACCGGUUCUAGCUCGUCAACCCGGUCAUCAUCCUUCUUGACCGGCUCUACCUAUAGGUCGGACCUACCUAACCUUGUGAUUACAGGAGUGUCAGUGACCCAGCCUGGUGACCGGCUGGAAGUAGAGGGUGAGGGUGUGAGGGGGUCACCCGGGGGAAGGUGGAGGGUGGAGGAGGUUGACAAGAUUUACCAGGGUGACCGCGAUCACCUGGUGGAUCAAGUAGUCCCUGAGCUACGGGUUCCCACAAAUUUUACGAUGCAGAGUGAAGUUGAGCCGUAUCCAGAGAGGUCAGGAGGCUGGAAUCCAUACGCUUCAAAUCUUCCCUUUUCAGAGUUCUUUAAACAAGGUCUGGAUUGUGGUAAAGUUGACCUACUAGAUGAUGGUUCAGGGCUUGUGAGUUUAGUGGAUCAAAAUACAAUAAUUAUAGAACCCGACUCAGAGGUUAAAGAUGAACUGAAAGAAUUUAAUGUAUUGCACACCUCAAACCAUUUAAUUAGCAUUCAUAAAGGUGAAGAUGGUGGAGGGGGGGGAGGAGAAGGUGGAGAAGGUGGAGGAGGAGGAGGAGGGAUGAGUAUGUGGGAUGAAAUUAACUCUAGUAUGGAGAAAUUAGAUCCAAUUCACAUUCAGGACUACAACGAAAGACUGCAGGACUGCCAGGAUCUGAUAAAGACAGAACCUCACAACAAUAAAGACGAAUUCUCUUGUCCUGAGGACGGAUACUCCCAGCAUAGGACGGAAUUUCACCAACACAAGGACGAUUUUGUCUCCCUGGUGAAUGAUAGCAUAGGAUACUGCUAUGAUACUAGUGGACUAGGAUCUCUAGAGGAUCAGGGUCAGCUAGGAGAUCAUGUUCAACUUGCUCCGCUCAAUCCUGAUCCCCUUGACACCUAUACUUAUACAAUAAACUAUACUCAGGCGUACAGACCGGAUCCGUACACUAUACAACACAGUGUACAGAGUGUACAUAGUGAUUUAGUAUCCCGAGAUACUCCACCACCUCCUUAUACAUCCUUCUCCUCACCUUCACCCUGUUCAUCCUCAUCUUCAUCCUCACUAUCUCCGCAGGAAAUAUCUUCUCCAGUUAAAUAUAACAGGAAUAACCCUGAGCUGGAGAAGAGAAGAACCCACCACUGUGACUACCCAGCCUGUAAUAAAGUUUAUACGAAGAGUUCACAUCUUAAAGCUCAUCAGAGAAUUCAUACAGGAGAAAAGCCGUACAAUUGCCAGUGGCCAGAUUGCAAUAAUCAAUUUGCAAGGUCCGAUGAACUAACCCGGCAUUAUAGAAAGCACACCGGAGCAAAACCGUUCAAGUGUAAAGUCUGUGAUCGAAGCUUUGCCCGAAGUGAUCAUUUAGCCCUGCACAUGAAGAGACAUAUGCCAAAACACGUUAAAAUGUCGUGAAUCUGCAGUUCAAACUAAAACUUGGUGCUACAACUACUAUUCAAACAAAAAUAAACCCCUGUGAUUCUUUGUUGCUAUUUUAUGAAAAAUUUCGUAAAGUGCGUUAUCUUCUGCUUUAAGUUUUAUUGCCAAAGGUUGCUGGUUUUUAUUGAAAUUAUAUCUUUUGUUUAAAAAAGUGCCAUAUCAAGGAAAUUCCCUUUUGCCCACCUCAAGCCCUUGAGAAAAUGGUACAAAAUAUAUAUUUGGAGGACUGAUACUUCAAAAUCAGUUGUGAUUUAAGAUACACCCUAUGGUUGGUGCGUGGAAGACCAUCAUUAUCGUUUUUCAUUCAAACAGAAGUCUUCAUUCUAUAAUUUCUAUGGUUGGGUUUGAAAUUGUAGAUAUUUUUUUUUCUAUGAAAUACUAUAAGUCAACAUAUUUUUAAAUGCAACUUUUAAAAUCUACACAAUAUUCUUACUCUUUAAGAGUUCUAUACUAACAAAACUAGUCCAAGUCGUAAUUUUUUUAAAUAUAUUUCUACAGGUUCACAACACGAGUCAGCACAUAGGAUGCACAUCAGCCGUACACCUUACAAUGUACUGUCCCGCCAUGAACUGUACUGUUUUACCGGUACAUUGUAAAUUCUUCUUGAAGUAUAGAAGAUGAACGCGCGGCAAAAUUUAAUAAUUCUGAAAAAAAAAUCUGAAGGUUUAAAAAUUUUAGAAAAAGUAAUUAUUAACAAUAUGCAGUUUAAUAAUGGAGUUUGAAAGUAUGUUACUAUAACUAUAAUUAUCUUAAUCAGGAAAUUUUCAUUCAAAUAGUUAAAAGUUUUUUUCAGUUUAUGAUUUUCAACGAAACUCUCCUAAACAAUUGGGUCAGAUUUUCAGUUGUCAGUGCCAUUCAUCUCUUAUUUUUGUUUAAAAAACAAUGUUUUUGUCUAUUUCAAAUGUCCUUAAAAUUGUAUGAAAGAAUUUAUAAAAUUUUUCAAAUGAAUACAAAGUAUGUUGCAUGCCAUAUCAAAUAGAAUAGAUUUAUAAUUAUGUAAAAUUAUUUCUUUCUUUUAAAAUGUAAAAAAUAGUUUAUUUUUCUCUAAACGUUGUCAACUGUUGCUUCCAUCUUGUAAAAAUCAAAAAUCAUAAAACUUGAUUCUAUUUCGUCGAAUUUAUCGAAGUUAAUAAAAAGGCGUUAUUCUGUUGUAUCGGCUGUAUAAACAAUUUCCAAGUCUAAUUUCAUUCUUCUUAGAAUCGAUCACAAAUUACUGUUUCGUGUCCUAGCACUAUUUUUGCUCCGUCCAAUCAAUGCAGAUACAAGGCACUUUUUUUGGAAGACGCCAUUUUUUCCUCAGAACAGCUGACUACAGCUGAUUUGGCGGGAAUCAUUCAUGCGGAACAAAAAUGUGCGAAACCACAAUUUAUCAUUUUUGUAUAACAAUUGUGAAUCAAUGACGUUUAACUUUUUGUAAACAUGUUUAAAUAUUACAAUGUGUGAUAAUAUUGAAAUAGUAUAUACUUAUAUAGUCAUCUCUCCAUAUUAUAUACAAUUGUUUCAAGGCACAAAAGCUUUAAUAUAAAAUUAUUUUAAAUAUAUAUUUCCGGCAGUGA
rnacentral:misc_RNA from 1 species